rnacentral:rRNA from 1 species
UAGGGAAUCUUCGGCAAUGGGGGGAACCCUGACCGAGCAACGCCGCGUGAGUGAAGAAGGUUUUCGGAUCGUAAAGUGCUGUUGUUAAGGAAGAAAGAGUGUGAGAAUGGAAAGUUCAUGCUGUGACGGUACUUAACCAGAAAGGGACGGCCAACUACGUGCCAGCAGCCGCGGUAAUACGUAGGUCCCGAGCGUUGUCCGGAUUUAUUGGGCGUAAAGCGAGCGCAGGCGGUUAGAAAAGUCUGAAGUGAAAGGCAGUGGCUCAACCAUUGUAUUCUUUGGAUACUGUUUAACUUGAGUGCAGAAGGGGAGAGUGGAAUUCCAUGUGUAGCGGUGAAAUGCGUAGAUAUAUAGAGGAACACCGGUGACGAAAGCGGCUCUCUCAUCUGUAACUGACGCUGAGGCACGAAAGCGUGGGGAGCGAACAGG